GACAGUGACGUGCUUCUAAGAAACUGGAACGACUCUGAUGUUUCGGUGCUUCCGAUAUACAAGAAGCUGAUUGCUGCAGGUCUUCGAAUAUGGGUUUUCAGUGGGGACACAGAUUCCGUAGUUCCAGUGACUGCAACGAGGUUUUCUUUGAACCGUCUAAAUCUCAAAGUCAAAACUCCGUGGUAUCCUUGGUACUCUAAUGGGCAGGUUGGGGGAUGGACUGAAGUUUACGAUGGACUAACGUUUGCUACAGUGAGAGGAGCUGGGCAUGAAGUUCCUUUGUUUCAGCCUAGGAGAGCUUUCGAGCUAUUUCAGACAUUCUUGUCUGGAAAGAACUUGCCUAAAUCUUGAAGCACUUGCGUCGUAAAAAACAGAAACUACGCUAGAGGGAGUAUUACAAUAGGAUCAUUCAAUUCCAACUGUACUUAAAUUACGUAACAGAAGUCCUAAUUAUUGUCGAGCUAUAAGUUAAUAGUUCAUUUAUAUCAGCGUGUUUCGACACAUAAAAUUCUCUUGGCAGCAGAAUUUUACGUGUCGAAAUUCAGACAGAAAGAUGGGGAUGUCAAAUGACAAAUACAUUGCUUUCAAACAUCAGUGUUGAAUUAAAUCA